UUGAACGCUGGCGGCAUGCCUUACACAUGCAAGUCGAACGGUAGAGGGGCAACCCUUGAGAGUGGCGAACGGGUGAGUAAUACAUCGGAACGUGCCCAGUCGUGGGGGAUAACGCAGCGAAAGCUGCGCUAAUACCGCAUACGAUCUAUGGAUGAAAGCGGGGGAUCGCAAAGACCUCGCGCGAUUGGAGCGGCCGAUAUCAGAUUAGGUAGUUGGUGGGUAAAAGCCCACCAAGCCGACGAUCUGUAGCUG
rnacentral:rRNA from 1 species